rnacentral:rRNA from 1 species
CGAACGGGACCAUUUUAGAGUUUACUUUGAGAUGGUUUAGUGGCGGACGGGUGAGUAACACGUGAGCAACCUACCUUUCAGAGGGGGAUAACAGUUGGAAACGACUGCUAAUACCGCAUAACGUUGUAAAAGGGCAUCCAUUUACAACCAAAAGAGAAAUCUGCUGAAAGAUGGGCUCGCGGCCGAUUAGAUAGUAGGCGGGGUAACGGCCCACCUAGUCAACGAUCGGUAGUCGGACUGAGAGGUUGAACGGCCACAUUGGGACUGAGACACGGCCCAGACUCCUACGGGAGGCAGCAGUGGGGGAUAUUGCACAAUGGGCGAAAGCCUGAUGCAGCGACGCCGCGUGAGGGAAGACGGUCUUCGGAUUGUAAACCUCUGUCUUUGGGGAAGAAAUCAGACGGUACCCAAAGAGGAAGCUCCGGCUAACUACGUGCCAGCAGCCGCGGUAAUACGUAGGGAGCGAGCGUUGUCCGGAAUUACUGGGUGUAAAGGGAGCGUAGGCGGGCUUGUAAGUUGAAUGUCUAAUCCACCGGCUCAACCGGUGAUCGCGUUCAAAACUGCAGGUCUUGAGUGAAGUAGAGGCAGGCGGAAUUCCUAGUGUAGCGGUGAAAUGCGUAGUUCUUAAGAGGAACACCAGUGGCGAAGGCGGCCUGCUGGGCUUUAA